rnacentral:rRNA from 1 species
AUGGGUUUUUCGGGAAACGUGGCCUCUUAACAAUGCUACGGUGGCAGGAGGAGCUCGCGGGCUAUCAGCUAGUUGGUGAGGUAACGGCUCACCAAGGCGACGACGGCUACGGGGUCUGAGAGGACGACCCCGCACAUUGGAACUGAGACACGGUCCAGACUCCUACGGGAGGCAGCAGUGGGGAAUAUUGGGCAAUGGCCGAAAGGCUGACCCAGCGACGCCGCGUGUGGGAGGAAGCCCUUCGGGGUGUAAACCACUGUCAGGGGGGACGAAAGAGUCGGGAGUGAAUAAUUCUCGGCAGUGACGGUACCCUCAAAGGAAGCACCGGCUAACUCUGUGCCAGCAGCCGCGGUAAUACAGAGGGUGCAAGCGUUGUUCGGAAUUACUGGGCGUAAAGCGCGCGCAGGCGGGUCUGUAAGUCGGAAGUGAAAUUUCGGGGCUCAACCCCGAAGCUGCUUCUGAUACUGCAGGUCUAGGGACCGGUAGAGGCUGGUGGAAUUACAGGUGUAGCGGUGGAAUGCGUAGAUAUCUGUAAGAACACCCGUGGCGAAGCGGCCAGCUGGGCCGGGUCCGACGCUGAGCGCGAAAGCGUGGGGAGCAAACAGAUAGAUACCUGGUAGUCACGCCGUAACGAUGGGCA